rnacentral:lncRNA from 1 species
CGAAAAUACAAAAAAAGUAAUUGAAUUCAAAUUUUUCCAAGUGUCUGUCAUGAAAUGGACAGCUUAUAUCCUUAGAUGAUGUCCUAAAUAGUUAUUAGUUGAACUACUACUUGAACCCAUUGUCUCUUUGCAAGGCUUCCCAUAAAAUAUUCAGUGAUAAUGUCAUGCUUCAGAUUUUUGAGAAGUAAAAUUUCUGUCCUAAAACUCAUCCAGAGCAAUCUAUUCUCACAUAGUACUCAAAUUGCUAAACCCAAGACUUCCACAUGAUCGCCUGGAGUAUCCAAGGGAGUUCUUAGAACUCCUUAUGUACCCACUUGCCAAAUGUACUCCAUUGCUGACCCACAUUUACCCUGGCAUGCACUUGUGGGCCAGGUCUCUUGAGCUCCUGAUCUUGUAAUCUCAAAUCCAGCCCUGCAUCACACUCGAGGCUCUUGUCUUUGGCUCAUGCAUAUACCCCUCUCAAUUUAUUCUUCACCAGUUUGUUUUCUGGUUCUGGACCACACCUCCAAGAGCACCUUUUGGCCACUUUGAUGUGUUGAUCCUUGAAUUGCUCUUUUGUUAAGGUCUUUCACUCAGUUUUCUCUUAUUUCUCUGAAUUUUGGGUCCCUCUUCAAGCUCUCUGCUUUAGCCACUGUGCCAUUGGAGCAGAAAUUGUCUGCUCUACCCCUACCCACCUCUCAAGAAGUGGGUAGGGCAACGAGGGGAAUAUAUGUUCUGGAUUUUUUUUUUUUUAAUAAGGGGCAUCGGUGCCCAGGAGGAUGGGAGGAGGUCCUUGCCUCUCUUAGCCACUGUUGGUUGUACUCCCCAGAUGCAACUAUUUUCUCAAGAAAGCAAUCUCCUUACCUCUGGCCCUGAGAAUCAUGAGUAUUCAGAGCUAUAACAUCCAAAUCCCAUUCUCCCAGCCACUGUAUUCUGCCUGACAGGAGAAGUUUCACCUAAUUGCAGAUCAAGCUUGGCUCUCUGUGGGACAUUAGGAGAAGAGUUGGCAAUCUGCAAACCUUGACCAUAAUUCUCAGGCUUAACACAAUCAGUGAAUCUUUUUGGCAUUUAGGUAGAUCUUCCCCUACCCACCCAUAUUCUCACUCCCAUUUUGAUUCAGAGUCCACAUGGAAUGUUCGGUGCCACAGCUAAAGUCCAAGAGGAAUAGAUUGUUCUUGGGGCAGAUCAUCCCAUCAUUAAUUUUAUCUAAUUCUCUCACUCUCCACCCUGCUCCAUUUACCCCAUUAAAAAUUAUUUUAAAAAGAGAAAAAAAUAAAAAUUUCACCAAUCUUUGAGAAAAACACAAGGACAGUUCUAUAGUCUUCUAAAUUCUGCCCCUGGCUCUGAGUCCUCUUUGAAAUGUUAUCUUUUGGGAAGAAUGUAUACCUGGGACCUACUUUCCAGAGCCUUCCUUUCAGAUCCAUUUCUUUGUCAAAGUCCACACUUGAUAUGGGAGAUGCCCAGAUAAGUCUGGAUUCUAAAUGACUUGAGGACACCUACUAAAGGAGUGGAUCACUAUUGGGGAACUGUCUGUCACUCUGUUGCAUACACGAUUCACUUUGCCUGCUCUUUGCAGAUAUCAUCACCAGCAAGCCUUGCUAGGCUCCCUGGGAUUACGUCUCACCAGGAUUUUAGUUAGAGAGCCUCCCUUUGCUCCUGAACUAUGUUAUUCUGCAUUCUUCAACUACUGCUGCAGGGAUCAGCCUUUUUUAUGUGAAGCUUUGUAAAGGGAUACUGGGU